UAUCCUGUCUGAAUAUGGGGGGACCAUCCUCCAAGGCUAAAUACUCCUGACUGACCGAUAGUGAACCAGUACCGUGAGGGAAAGGCGAAAAGAACCCCGGCGAGGGGAGUGAAAAAGAACCUGAAACCGUGUACGUACAAGCAGUGGGAGCCCCACCACUAAGCCAGUGGUGAACUCCACAUCCGCAUCCUUUGCUGAGGAUACGGUUAACGGAGCGAAAGCGACGUUCAACCGCAAAACAAGCAGAGGGGGCUUAGUGGUGGGGUGACUGCGUACCUUUUGUAUAAUGGGUCAGCGACUUAUAUUCUGUAGCAAGGUUAACCGAAUAGGGGAGCCGGAGGGAAACCGAGUCUUAAUUGGGCGUUAAGUUGCAGGGUAUAGACCCGAAACCCGGUGAUCUAGCCAUGGGCAGGUUGAAGGUUGGGUAACACUAACUGGAGGACCGAACCGACUAAUGUUGAAAAAUUAGCGGAUGACCUGUGGCUGGGGGUGAAAGGCCAAUCAAACCGGGAGAUAGCUGGUUCUCCCCGAAAGCUAUUUAGGUAGCGCCUCGUGAAUUCAUCUCCGGGGGUAGAGCACUGUUUCGGCUAGGGGGCCAUCCCGGCUUACCAACCCGAUGCAAACUGCGAAUACCGGAGAAUGUUAUCACGGGAGACACACGGCGGGUGCUAACGUCCGUCGUGAAGAGGGAAACAACCCAGACCGCCAGCUAAGGUCCCAAAGUCAUGGUUAAGUGGGAAACGAUGUGGGAAGGCCCAGACAGCCAGGAUGUUGGCUUAGAAGCAGCCAUCAUUUAAAGAAAGCGUAAUAGCUCACUGGUCGAGUCGGCCUGCGCGGAAGAUGUAACGGGGCUAAACCAUGCACCGAAGCUGCGGCAGCGAACGUAUCACCCAAGACAACUUUACGGAGUUGACGAUUGACGGAGCGAAGCGACGUCAAAGCGUUCAUUAAAGUCGAGUUGGCUUAGGGAUACGUUCGUUGGGUAGGGGAGCGUUCUGUAAGCCUGUGAAGGUGUGUCGUGAGGCAUGCUGGAGGUAUCAGAAGUGCGAAUGCUGACAUAAGUAACGAUAAAGCGGGUGAAAAGCCCGCUCGCCGGAAGACCAAGGGUUCCUGUCCAACGUUAAUCGGGGCAGGGUGAGUCGACCCCUAAGGCGAGGCCGAAAGGCGUAGUCGAUGGGAAACGGGUUAAUAUUCCCGUACUUGGUGUUACUGCGAAGGGGGGACGGAGAAGGCUAUGUUGGCCGGGCGACGGUUGUCCCGGUUUAAGCGUGUAGGUGUGUGUUCCAGGUAAAUCCGGUUCACUUUAACACUGAGGCGUGACGACGAGGCACUACGGUGCUGAAGCAACAAAUGCCCUGCUUCCAGGAAAAGCCUCUAAGCAUCAGGUAACACGAAAUCGUACCCCAAACCGACACAGGUGGUCAGGUAGAGAAUACCAAGGCGCUUGAGAGAACUCGGGUGAAGGAACUAGGCAAAAUGGUGCCGUAACUUCGGGAGAAGGCACGCUGACACGUAGGUGAAGUGAUUUACUCAUGGAGCUGAAGUCAGUCGAAGAUACCAGCUGGCUGCAACUGUUUAUUAAAAACACAGCACUGUGCAAACACGAAAGUGGACGUAUACGGUGUGACGCCUGCCCGGUGCCGGAAGGUUAAUUGAUGGGGUCAGCG
rnacentral:rRNA from 1 species